UCCCCCGCAUUUUAUUAAGCUAGCUAUGAGCUGUUGGCAGGCAGCUAGCUAGCCCAAAACUCCAGUUUCCCCUGCAUUUCAAUUCAGACCGUUCUCCCGCACGAUUUUGUAUCCCAGUAUGCUACUCUCUGGUAAUUAAGAAAGUCCAAAUUGAUAUAUUAAUCAAUAUGCUGAAAUCUCCUAGAUUUUGCCACUAGAGGUUUUGAUACGUCAGAGCUGCUUUGGUUUUAUUUCUCUUUUUUAUUAUUAUUAUUAUUUUUGAUCCAGUUGGUAACUAAGCUUGUAUCCUAUUUUUGUGAGUGAUUUUGAACCUCCGUGUUUUUCAGAUUUUGGCAGAGUGCAGCCAGUAAUGAAGGGAUAGAUGCACCUGACAGAGGGCUUCUCUCUACAGGAUCCUGGACCAUUAGUGCUUCAUCGUGGGUCAAAGUGCAACAUCAGAUGUCUGCAAAGCUCAUCAGUUUUCCUUGGACUAGGGUGGCCCUUAAAUCAUGGCUGCAGCUGUCGCCGUGGUCCUGCUAUGCACGUCCUGCUACACCAUGAACUACUGCAACUACUAUUUAUACUCGUGGUUCAAUUAUCUUUAUUGUGACUAUUAUUGCCACUGUUCAUCACACCCCCAACCGGCACCGUCAGACACCACCGACCAAGAGCCUGGGUCUGUCCCAGGUUACUUCCUGAGAGGGAGGUUUUCCUCGCCACUGUCACACUGAAUGCUUGCUCUUGGGGGAAUUACUAGAAUUGUUGGGUCCCUGUAAAUUAUAGUGUAACAUCUCCAAAUUAUAGUGUAAAUUAUACCUACUCUAUUUGUAAAGUGUCUUGAGAGAACUCUUGUUAUGAUGUAUUAAAGUUGACAAAGAUGAGACUUUAUUGAUCUGGUGGUGAAAUUCACAAGCUACCUGCAAAGUCAAACUAAAGUAAUGCAAAGGUAGUGUAAAGCAUUACAAUUCAGAGACUGUAAUAUAUCUAAUUACUCUGAAAUGACAGUAACUAGUAAUCUAUAAUGAACUACAUUUUGGAAGUAACUUGCCCAACAAUCCUAGUUACUAUCAAUGAACUUAUGAAUACAUUUUAUACAAUAAGA